rnacentral:lncRNA from 1 species
GCAACAAAUUAAUUCCUUUAACAAUUGUCAUCCAUAAACACUGGAUUUAAUUACUAUUUGAUACUUUGUAGGGACUGGCAGAUCGUAUCAGCCCAGCUGUGAGGAUGGCUUCUGAAUAUAACUCUAAAAUAUUUGCACUGGAGGAAAAAGGCCUGGUAUCAUCAGUUCUGUGCACUGUUUCACUGCGCUGAGGACCACUGUGAGUCACAACUUUGAUACAGACUGGUUAUUGAGUGGAUUUUCAUCCAUUUGUUGAGCAACAACUACGAUGUUUUCAAACAAAGUUGGUGCUCCUAAAUCUUGUUGCUGCGUUGAUGAUCGCCUUUGAAGAAGAUGAAGUCCACCAGCAGAUGGGAGAAAGCAACACACAGGCCUCUGAAGAUUCUCUGGAGAAAGCAUGGUGUGGGAGGAAGCGCUCAUUUUCACAUGCAAACUCUGCUCCAUGCAAAAAAGGCAAGUGAGCCAGGAUGUCAGAUCUAAGCACUGAUGAA